GGUGACUUUGAAGUGCCACGUUGAUCAGAUUCUCGCCUUUUGCCACUCAGUGACUUGGAUGAAAGUAGACGCCAGGACUGGAACAAUGAGCACAAGAACUAACGUAAAGAUUAAUACGACCUCUGAGGUAGGGAAACGGGACAGAGUAUGUUUGGCAACCAUCACCAACGCAUUAGUGAGCGACUCUGGCAUGUACUACUGUUUGGCUGUUCACUCCAAGGCGGUCCACACUGGCAACGGAUCCAAUCUAAUCAUCACAGAGAGCAGCACUGAAUCCCCAAACAUCAAAAUCGUCUCAUCAGACAGCGACGGCUCCUCCGCCGCUCUGCUGUGUUUGGUGUCAGGAGUGGUCCCGUCUCAAGUCCAUGUGUUCUGGCUCAUAAACGGGAGAGAGGACAGUGGACUUACUGAGUCCACCUGGACAGACAACAGUGAUUCAGCCACAGAGUUCACUAGGAACCAGAUUCUGGUCCAGGCAGAGGAGUGGGACAGAGGGGUUCAGUGUACGUGUGUGGUGGAGUUUGAGGGAAAUUCUAUCAACAAAACUGUGCAAAGAAUAGAUCUUGGCGUGCUGUGUUACGUCACAGUGUGGAUAUACAGACUCCUGGGAAUAACUGCCUGGCUUCUGCUGUUGAUCCUGGCUACCACUGUGGCAGCAUGCAGGGGCAAGACUAGAGGUGUUCAGAGGAAUGAUACCUCAAUGAACAGGGGACGAAGGCAUAAUUCAUCAUAAAAAGGUUUUACAGUUUGUCAUUUGUACAAAGUCAUUUUGGUCGCAUUGUCGUGUGUCAAGACCAUUGGGAAAAGUUGUUUAUUGUUGUUGUUGUUGUCGUCGCUUGCUUAACUGUUGCUAACUAUUCAAAAAUGAAAGUGUAAAUUGGGAAAAAGCUCAUUAGAAUUUCAAAUUGCAGUUAUAUAUUUUUUUCUCAUAGAACAUAUUCAUACUGAAUUAUAAUCCACUGUAAAUGCUCUCUCAUUACAAAGUCCUGGGUCAGAUAUCCACUUUUUUUCUUAUUCGAAACCUUUGCGCGAGUGAUCGAAAUGUUAUUGAAUUCCCCUCUGUGAACCACACUUUGCUAGGCUUCAUGCAGGCAACUGUGUCGUUACAGACUUCGAAUGAAUCCAUUUCAAGAAAAUGUCCAUGUUUAAAAAGAUGCAAUACAAUAGUAUUGCUACAUUCCUAUAUUCUCAUGCUAUGCUGUUACUGGCUUAUUUGUUAAAGUAAGAAACUUUUCCAGAAAUCCUCACCAUCUGUUUUGACUACUAACUUGUAAAGGAGAGACAUGAUACCCAACUCUUUCUCUUAAUAAGUGCAUAUCAGAUAAUCAAAUGAAAUCACAUUUUAUUUGUCACAAUGCACCGAAUACAACAGGUGUGGACUUGACUGUCAAAUGCUUCCUUAAGAGCCCUUUCCCACCAACGCAGAGUUAAAACGUUUAUUUUUAUGUGCUAAAUAAAAAAAGGAAAUAAUAACACAGAUACGUGCAUAUUUUAUGCUAAAAUAAUUGCAAUUGCUAUGCAAUAACUGUCCUUCAAAUGAAGUAAGCAGUGUGCAGCAGCGUCGCUUAUCCAAAUCAUCUUCUUUAGUCCAACAGACUAAAUGGGUAAACGUGUCCUAUGUGAGAUAGGGCGACAUUAUUGCUGGUCUCUGUCGUUUUGCUUUCAUUUCUGAAAGAGGAGGUCAGAGACCUGGCAGUGUGGUAACAGAUUAACAACCUCUCUCUCAAUGUGGGCAAGACAGAGGGCCGAACAGGCCCCCAUUAACAUCGAUGG